rnacentral:rRNA from 1 species
GACAGAGGCCUCGAGCGUUAUGCGGAAUCACUGGGCUUAAAGCGUGUGUAGGCGGGCCCGUAAGUGUCUUGUGAAAUCCCACGGCUCAACCGUGGAACUGCUGGGCAUACUGCGGGUCUUGGGCCAACUAGGGGCAGCCGGAACAAGCGGUGGAGCGGUGAAAUGCGUAGAUAUCGCUUGGAACGCCGAAGGUGAAAACAGGCUGCUGGGGUUGCGCCGACGCUGAGACACGAAAGCCAGGGGAGCAAACGGG